AUUGAACGCUGGCGGCAGGCUUAACACAUGCAAGUCGAACGAGUGGCGGACGGGUGAGUAAUGUCUGGGAACCUGCCUGAUGGAGGGGGAUAACUACUGGAAACGGUAGCUAAUACCGCAUACCAUCGGAUGUGCCCAGAUGGGAUUAGCUAGUGGGUGGGGUAAAGGCUCACCUAGGCGACGAUCCCUAGCUGGUCUGAGAGGAUGACCAGCAACACGGGAACUGAGACACGGUCCAGAUUCCUACGGGGGGCAGAGUGGGGGAAUAUUGCACAAGGGGGGCAGGCUGGAGACGGCCAUGCCGCGUAGAUGAAGAGGGCCUCCGGGUGGUAAAGUACUUUCAGCGGGGAGGCGUUACCCGCAGAAGAAGCACCGGCUAACUCCGUGCCAGCAGCCGCGGUAAUAC
rnacentral:rRNA from 1 species